rnacentral:tRNA from 1 species
GGAAGGUUCGCAUAGUUGGUCUAGUGCGCACGCUUGGAAAGCGUGUAACCCGAAAGGGUUCGAGGGUUCGAAUCCCUCACCUUCCGCCA